AGAGGCAAGCAGGCACCCUGAGAAGAAUGCUGCUGCUGCCAAUGCUGGCCCUGGCUGAAGCCUGGUUGCAUCCAUUCCCCUCCCCGUGGAGGCUCCACUGGCAGCAGCAGCAGGAGGCUGUCCUGCGUACACCUGCGGGCAGCAGGCUGGCAGUGCUUGCUGUGUUUUCUCUCCUUCUGAUAGAUGGACAUGCGCUAGUGCUGCUGCAACAGCAUCAACUAUCUGCUACCAGAGAGAGAUCCAAAACUGUGACUAUUGAGUGCAAAGUCGAGGGCAUAGCUGACUUCCAGGCUGCCUACAUCCACUGGUACCGACAAAUGCCUGCUAAAGCUCCUGAACGGCUUCUCUAUGUGACAGCAGUAGCGCAAGUUUCCUAUGAUUCGGAUUCCUAUAAGAACAAAUAUUGGUCUUAUAAAAGUGAGAAUAAAAUCUGCACUCUCUCAGUUCUAAACAUACGUGAUGAUGAUGAAGGUACCUACUACUGUGCCUACUGGGAGUCUCACCGAGGGAGCAGUCUGCGGGCAGCCCUUACAGAAAGCUGGCUGCAACCUGAGCGGCACACUUUCUUUCAAGUGCUGAGAACCACAGCUGCCUUCCUGCCCCCAUCUCUCAGCCUUCAUGACAUCCCCACAGGUUUACACUGAGGAAGGAUAUCCAGGAGGAUGUCCAAGACAGUUAUGUAGCAAUCACGUUGAAAACCCAGUGUCCGUGUGACUAUUCUGUGCAGCCUGAGUCCAUUGUUUCCUCUCCCACCAGCAGCCGUCCUUCAUCUAAUGUUCCUUUUUUCACCACAGGCAUGCCAUCACUAAAGGACUUGAUACAAAAUGAUGAAUCUGUCACAAGGAAAAUGACAGUAGCACUUUACAGAACAUGUCCUGACAUGAGGACUGUAGUGCAUGCUGCAGAAGAAAAGACCUGGAGAAGAUCCAGAGAAGAUUCACUCUGUUAGUCAGAGAAUGGAAAACAUAACUCAGAAAGAGCAUGCAGUGGUAUAGGUCCUGUUUAUGCACACCAACAACAUCCAGAGUUGGUGCAGAUGGCUGUGCAGUCCCAAGUAAGCUGUGCCAAGCUAGAAGAAGACAGGAGUUUACCAUGAACCAGUCAAUUUGUGCUACAAAAGCAGGCAGCAUUUUCUAGGAAGGGCUGAUGAAAUAUGCUUCUUGGCCUGAAAUAUGCUUCUCAGCCCUGGGGAUCUGAGGAGAGGAGAGUGACCCUGGGAAGGGCACAACUGAAGAAUCCCACUUUCAACAUCUGUGCUUAACAAGAUUUAAGGGUAAGAGUAAAUGGAAUGUAGCAGAUGGAU